rnacentral:tRNA from 1 species
GUCAGGAUGGCCGAGUGGUCUAAGGCGCCAGACUCAAGGCUCUGCCUUCCCACAGUUGGGAAUUCUGGUCUCCAUGUGGAGGCGUGGGUUCAAAUCCCACUCCUGACA